rnacentral:lncRNA from 1 species
AUCAAGAGCACCAGAGAAAGAGAGUGAGAGGAAAGAGUAGCUCUGAAGGUGAAAGCCCAAGAAGGAGUUCUUGAGCUGUGAAGGUGCAUCUUCUUCCUUCUCCAUUUCAGCCAACCUUCUGCCUCCCUGCGAGCUAGCACUCCCCGGGAAGUUGAUCAUUCCGGAGCUUCGCGUGGACGAGUCAUCGAGGCCGGACGCUUGUGCGGCUGCGAAGCAUCCUUGAAGGAACCCCCUUCUAACCCAACUCUACCGAGGACGGUUCCCUCGCAACCGUGCGCCGGGAGGGUUGUCUCUACCGAGAGACGAGUCAACUUUGGCUUUCUCUCCCGGAAAGGGUUCUGAAAGUGAAUCCUAGGUUCUUCGGUAUUAAGCA